rnacentral:lncRNA from 1 species
AUCGAUUUAAAGUAACUGAAAUUGAUUCAAAUACUGAUUUCAUUUCCUUGUAAAAUAAAUAUUACAAUGAUGGGAGCAAACAAGGAACAAAACAAAACAAUGCCAUACUAAGCCAUUUAUAAAAAAAAACAAGCACAAGGACACAACUAGGUCAUUCAAGAAACAUAAGACAACGUGUUUCCUAGUUCCCUAGGCUAGUAAGAAGGUUUUAGUUGAAUCCUUUUCAUCAGGCCUUUCUUCCCCCAGUUGCAGAUUAGCAUUAUGCAUCUUUGGAAGAUUGUCAAACUUAUCAUGCAAAAUCCUUAUUUGUUCAGCAUCAUAUUUCUCAAAGUUUGUUUCAGGAAAUUAGUUUGUUCCAGUUGCUGUCAUAAGGAUGUCUUUCCUGUAAGAUUCUAUUAACACCU